CUCAAAGAUAGUUAGGAAUGCUGGUAGCAUAGGGCCUAAGGAGAGAGUCCAUUUAGCCAGAUAAUUCUGCCGUAAGGGUACAUCUAGACU